rnacentral:tRNA from 1 species
GGAGGGGCAAGCCGAUAGGUGACGGCAACUGUCUCGAAAACAGCCGAGCGAUGAGCCUUGGGGGUUCGAUUCCCCUCCCCUCCGC